CUCGAUCUCGUGUUUCUCGAUGCA
rnacentral:siRNA from 1 species